UUAAAAAAAUGUGCCAUACUUAAUUUUUAACACCAUUUGGAAAUCUGAAGUCAUUUCGAUAAACAUCAAAUGUGUAGCUUGCCUUUCUUAAAAAUUUCUCACAUCUGCUUACAACAGGGUGUUAAUUCAUUCUGACCAUGAUUUUGCAUUUGCUAAUUGAAUGUGGAAGUGAGAGAGACUUCGAGAAUGUACUGUGUCUGAGGUUUUGCCAGUUUGAGAGUGAAGAAAAAUUCCGGAAAAGAGGAAACCAUUCGUCUUGUAGUUGGUUUCUGAGGUCAGUAUUCCCAUGACCUUGAGCUGAAGGAGGAAUGGCUCACUUUCAUUGUAGGGGCUGAGAAGAAAUGACCCCACACAAGUUCACUAAGUCUAAGUUGUGUCCGUUUCUUAAGAGAGAAGAAAAGUAUCGACUCUAGGACAGUGUUUCCCACAGGCUGUUCAGCAAACAUCAGUUUUCUGCGGUGUUGCCAGACUGGCUGGGGUGGGCAGUCAGGAAAUUUCUUUGGCCAAGCUCUGGGCCAGUGGGUCCUUCAAGACUCCAGCUAUAGUAACAUACAGAAACGUGUUUGCAUUUGUGCGAGCCUGAUUUUCUCAAAAUUCCUCCUGCCUGGAUCCUCUGCGCCGCUGAUUAAUAUCUGUACUUGCUUGCUUGCAGGUCAACAGUCAACUAAAAGAAAACUGACCAAGUGAAUGCUGAAUCCCUGUCUUAGGAACAUGCUGCAUUACAGGGUCCUGUGACUUGCUUGCCGCAUGUCAGCACGGCAGGCGUAGUCUGUGAUUCCUGACACCUGACCACGGCCGCAGCUCUUGGAAGAAAAAAUGAGCGAGCUGGAAGGCGGAUGGGUAAACAGACUGUGCCCAGUUGCACGGACCCUAUAAGCUGGGAUUGCCGCAGACCUCCCCGAGUCCCUGCUAUAGACACCCGCGUGCCGCAGUAAUGGGGCUGCAUCACGUGACCCGCCAAGCCCUCCUUCACCCUCGAGAUCGUCCUAUGGAAUGCUGCAUUUCGUUCGGUUACAAGCUGGUGGAGAGGCGGAGGCCCAGCGAGAUCCAGGCCACUUUAAGGCCACACAGCAAAGAAGUGUAGGGACCGGGGUGACCCCGGGCCACCUGGUUCUAGAACCUCUCCUAUCCAGUGCUCCUUUGCCCCCGACGAAAGCCACUAUGUCAGCAGAAGACACCAGGCUGUCAAAACCUCCUCUUGCUUCCUCCUCAGGCAGCUCGCGUGCGCUGACCGGCCGGUCUAGCACGUUCUGACUUCACUACGGCUUCGCUCAUCGUAGAACUUUGGUCUUGGAGCCUCUGCAGCCCAGCCAGACCCUGGUUUCUGGGAGGGACGCCGUCCCAGGCAUUCGGAUUGCUACAGGACAGCUCUCUAGCUCGCAGGUCCCGGCACCCCCUCUUCCUCUCCUCUGGGCGUCCGGCUGUGUCCUCUGGCUGUGCCCUUUCCCACCAGAACCCCUACCCCUUACCUUCAA